GGGGGGGGGGGGCGGGAGGGGUGAGACGGGGGGGGGGGGCGGGGGAGGGGGGGUUGCUCCGGGAGUCAGCGGCGGAGGGGGGAGGAGUGGCUAGGAAUGUGCGUGGUAGUGGGGGAUAACGUCCGGAAACGGGCGCUACUACCGCAUACGCACGGAGGGAGGAAGCGGGGGAUACUCGGACCUCACGCUAUAAUCAUAGCCUAGGUCUGAUCAGCUAGUUGGUGGGGUAAAGGCCUACCAAGGCGACGAUCCGUAACUGGUCUGAGGGGAUGAGUCGUCACACUGGAACUGAGACACGGUCAAGACUCCUACGGGAGGCAGCAGUAGGGAAUAUUGGACAAUGGGCGAAAGCCUGAUCCAGCCAUGCCGCGUGUGUGAAGAAGGUCUUCGGAUUGUAAAUCACUUUAAGUUGGGAGGAAGGGUAGUAAGUUAAUACAUUGCUGUUUUGACGUUACCAACAGAAUAAGCACCGGCUAACUUCGUG
rnacentral:rRNA from 1 species